GGCCAGGCGAGGGCAGAAAGGCGGCAGAAACCCCGUGUCUCUCUCUUCUUUUAAAAGGGGAUUUUCUGGUAAUUUGACAAGGGCCUCUCGAUCUUCUUCCGGAAGAACCCUCUUCCCUUUCCCCGGACGCGGACGCAUGACUCCAUAAAGAAGCACCUGGCGGGAAGAGCUCCUCGUUCGAUUUCGACCCCCUCCUCGCCCCCAAGAAGAAGCAUUUCCUCGAACACCUUCGCUCCCUCCUCAUGGAUUUGGACCCAGAAGGCCUAUUUCGGGAUGAUUCCGACUCCGAGAGCGAGUUCUAUCGGGAAAAAGAUUCCACAAAGGAGUUUGUAGUCUACCUCGUUGAUGCGUCCCCGAAGAUGUUCGGUGCAGCAAGAAGCGAUGAAGAUGAGAAACCAGAAACACAUUUUCAUGCUGCAAUAAACUGUAUUUCCCAGUCAUUGAUGGCCCAAAUUAUUGGUAGAUCCUAUGAUGAAGUUGCAGUUUGUUUCUUUAACACUAAGGAAAAGAAAAACUUACAGGAUUUAAAUGGGGUCUAUGUCUUCAAUGUUAUGGACAGAGAAUGUCUUGAUAGGCCAACAGCAAGGUUAAUUAAAGAGCUCUCUUAUGUAGAAGAUACAUUUAUGAGCAACAUUGGGAGUCGAUAUGGUAUUGUUUCUGGAUCUCGAGAGAAUUCCUUAUACAAUGCUCUUUGGGUUGCACAGGCACUAUUGCGCAAGGGAUCCGCAAAAUCUGUGAGCAAGCGAAUUCUACUAUUCACUAAUGAAGAUGAUCCUUUUGGGAGUAUAACAGGGGCAACGAAAACAGACAUGAUUAGGAUGACACUACAACGUGCUAAAGACACACAAGACCUUGGCAUCUCAAUUGAGCUUCUUCCUUUGAGUUGGCCAGAUGAGGAGUUCAACGUAUCCAUUUUUUAUGCUGAAUUGCUUGGAUUGGAAGGUGAUGAUAUAUCCCAGUUUUUGCCAUCUGCAGGUGAAAUAUUGGAAGAUAUGACAGAUCAGCUGAGAAAACGAAUGUUUAAGAAGCGCAAAGUCAAAACCAUCAGAUUCUCUAUUGCAAAUGACAUCUGUAUUGAAGUGAAUACAUAUGCUUUGAUCCGCCCAACCUCACCAGGACAAAUAAUGUGGCUUGAUUCUGUUACUAAUCUUCCAUUAAAGACGGAAAGGUCCUUUAUAUGCGCAGACACUGGAGCUCUAGUUCAGGAGCCGCAUACAUAUUUUCACCCUUAUAAGAAUGAAAUCAUAAAAUUUUCUAUGGAUGAACUAUCUAAGAUAAAGAACAUUUCAGACGGUCAGCUUCACCUUUUAGGAUUCAAGCCAUUGGAUUGUUUAAAAGAUUAUCACAAUUUGAGGCCAUCUACAUUUAUUUUUCCAACUGAUGAGGAAAUUGUUGGAAGUACUCGCAUUUUCAUUGCUUUACAUAGGUCAAUGUUACGCUUUCAACGGUUUGCACUUGCAUUUUAUGGAAGUUUAUAUCAUCCCCAGCUGGUUGCCCUUGUUGCGCAAGAUGAAAUAACCAGUUCAAGUGGUCAAGUGGAGCCUCCUGGAAUGCAUAUGAUAUAUCUUCCAUAUUCAGAUGAUAUUAGACAUGUUGAAGAGCUUCAUAUGGCUGUUGAUGCUAAUGCACCACGUGCCACAGAUGAUCAAAUCAAGAAAGCCUCUGCUUUAUCAAGACGUAUAGAUUUAAAAGACUUUUCAGUCUGCCAGUUUGCAAAUCCUGCUUUACAAAGACAUUAUGGGAUACUGCAAGCCUUAGCUUUGGGUGAAGAUGAGAUGCCAGAAAUCAAAGAUGAAACCUUACCUGAUGAAGAAGGCCUGUCUAGGUGACUCGUCUGCUGCCAGGAAUUGUCCGUGCACUUCAAGAAUUCAAAAUAUCUGUUUAUGGUGAAAACCAUGAUCAGGAGGAAGCCAACACCGCAGCUGCAAAAGGGUCUGGAAGUGAAGCUUCUAGAAAGCGUAAAGCAAUGGCUGAAACUGCUGCAAGGGAGAGUGCAAGUUAUGAUUGGGCUGAUCUUGCAGAAAAUGGAAAGCUGAAGGAUCUGACCGUGGUAGAGUUAAAGUACUACCUAACUGCUCACAAUCUCCCAGUUACUGGGAAGAAAGAGGCCUUAAUCAGCAGGAUCUUAACUCACUUGGGCAAGUAAAUUUUUGUUGAAGCUGUACUGAAAUGUCAUGCAGCUUGCUGAGCACCGUGGAAGGGCCCUUUGCAGUUGACCUAAUUGCUUGAAGCUGGGUUUUCUUUGGCAACCAACGUAGCUCAUCGGUUUUGUUAUAAUAUUGCUGUAAAAAGAUCCUCGCUUCCCUUUUCCCCUCUUUUCUGUAAAUGAAAGGUAGCAAAUAGUACAAGCUACAGUUUCUAGGAUAUUAAUUAUUUUAAGUAGUCUAAAGCUCUGCAUUGGCGGAAAAGUGACGAUUUUAAGGAUGCUAGAGUAGCUGAAGUGUUAUAGCUACAUAAUUUGCAGAAAGAGGAAAGAAGUAUCCUAACAAGUUGACAUGUACGUAAGAAUGGACGGGACGUGAUGUCAGAUGAACUUUCAGUGAGAAUGGGAUGAUGAAAAGUUAGUGUUGACCUUGUGAGUGUUAGUGUGGCAUGAGCAUCUACUAAGUUGCCUGCCUCUAUUAUUAGUUUACAGCAUACCUUAAACCGUUUAUACAAGUUCAAAAUCUGUUCUGUAUCA